rnacentral:rRNA from 1 species
CUGUAGCAAGGUUAACCGAAUAGGGGAGCCGGAGGGAAACCGAGUCUUAACUGGGCGUUAAGUUGCAGGGUAUAGACCCGAAACCCGGUGAUCUAGCCAUGGGCAGGUUGAAGGUUGGGUAACACUAACUGGAGGACCGAACCGACUAAUGUUGAAAAAUUAGCGGAUGACCUGUGGCUGGGGGUGAAAGGCCAAUCAAACCGGGAGAUAGCUGGUUCUCCCCGAAAGCUAUUUAGGUAGCGCCUCGUGAAUUCAUCUCCGGGGGUAGAGCACUGUUUCGGCUAGGGGGCCAUCCCGGCUUACCAACCCGAUGCAAACUGCGAAUACCGGAGAAUGUUAUCACGGGAGACACACGGCGGGUGCUAACGUCCGUCGUGAAGAGGGAAACAACCCAGACCGCCAGCUAAGGUCCCAAAGUCAUGGUUAAGUGGGAAACGAUGUGGGAAGGCCCAGACAGCCAGGAUGUUGGCUUAGAAGCAGCCAUCAUUUAAAGAAAGCGUAAUAGCUCACUGGUCGAGUCGGCCUGCGCGGAAGAUGUAACGGGGCUAAACCAUGCACCGAAGCUGCGGCAGCGAACGUAUCACCCAAGACAACUUUACGGAGUUGACGAUUGACGGAGCGAAGCGACGUCAAAGCGUUCAUUAAAGUCGAGUUGGCUUAGGGAUACGUUCGUUG